GUGAUCUCCUACUGUAUCAUAGGUCUAUAGACCAGGGGGAUCUCCUACUGUACAUAGGUCAUAGACCAGGGUGAUCUCCUACUGUAUCUAGUCUAUAGACCAGGGUGAUCUCCUACUGUAUCAUAGGUCUAUAGACCAGGGUGAUCUCCUACUGUAUCAUCUAUGCCGGUAUCCUAGUAUAGUCAAAGACCAGGGUGAUCUCCUACUGUAUCAAGGUCAAUAGACUUGUCUUCUCAAAACAGACUUAAAAAAAACACAAUCAACAAACAAACAUUUUCUGUUAAUGCUGUUAAUGCUUUUCACUCAGGAAGGUUUGUUGUGUGAAAGAGACAAAUAAAUAUUGUGGAGAGACUAACAACAACUUACACUCCUCAAUACAGGUGUGUGUGAUUCAUAGUGCCCACCGUAACAAACAGAUAUAAAUAAUUUGUAGCAAACAUUGCACAGCGUUAGAGUAAACUGUUUUUUUUAAUGUGGACUAAUGAAUACGAAUAUAUUUUUUUUUAGGUCGUUUUUUUAAACUAUGAAUACGGCCUUGGAGCCUUGGAGGCUGUUGAUGCCUGCCUGAUGCACGUAGCCUACGACUCGGCUGUUGAUGCCUGCCUGAUGCAGUAGCCUACGACUCGGGCUUUGAUGCCUGCCUGAGGCACGUACCUACACUCGGCUUGUUGAUUGCCUGCCGCUGAUGCACGGAGCCUACGACUCGGCUGUUGAUGCUGCUGAUGCACGUAGCCUACGACUCGGCUGUUGAUGCCUGAUGCACGUAGCCUAGAUGCAAUCAGAUUACUGGUUUCUAAAGUUAGCCAGCUCAGUUAGCUUCACAUUCCAGCUGAGGCCUCAUCCAUCAGAAAUACAGAACACAACAGAAAAAUCUCAAUGACUUGACAUGUUCUGGUUGUGAAUUCAGGCUACAAGGGGCCAGUGCUCUAAAAUGAGUCUCUCUGGGGAGAGAGAGGAGGGGGACCCUGCCUCUAAAAUGAGUGUCUCUGGGGAGAGAGAGGGGGUCCCUGCCUCUAAAAUGAGUCUCUCUGGGGAGAGAGAGGAGGGGGGCCCUGCCUCUAAAAUGAGUCUCUCUGGUGAACAUGACACCAAAGCUAAGAGGGGUCUGUGGAGGUACUGCAGGGGUUCUCAAUCCGGGGUCUGUGGAGGUACUGCAGGAGUUCUCAAUCCGGGGUCUGUGGAGGUACUGCAGGGGGUCCGCGGCACCCUGAGUGUACUCGAUGCAAUUCCAAUCAAGCAGGAGAGACCAGCCUCCCCUGUUCCAGCUGUGUGUCCAUGAGAGUGACGGUCUAUGGAACCUAUAGGUUUAGAGGGGAGACUUUCUAUACUGAACAAAGGUAAGAAGAACUCAUGGGUCCUGGUCAGUGAGGUUAAACAACACUGUCUCUAGUCAUUUCUCCUCUCCCAUUUCCCAUUUAUUGUUGUUGUUUUCUAUCCAUAGGCUAAUCAUUUUGUCUAUUUUCAUAGUCUUAAACAAAAUUAAACAAACACAACAUCCCUCCUCCCUCCGUGUGUGUGUGUGUGUGUGUGUGUGUGUGUGUGUGUUUGUGUGUGUGUGUGUGUGGUGUGUGUGUGUGUGUGUGUGUGUGUGUGUGUGUGUGUGUGUGUGUGUGUAUUGUGUGUGUGUGUGUGUGUGUGUGCGCUCCCUGGGUGAGGAGAUGUAACCUCCAUCCUGAUUGCCUAGUCCUUUUUCCCCGAAACUACAUUGGUCAAUAUUACCUCAACUCUGUACCCUGACAUUGACUCAGUACUGGAUCCUUAUAGUCUCAUUAUUACCUCAACUACCUGGUACCCUGCACAUUGACUCAGUACUGGUUACUCCUU
rnacentral:lncRNA from 1 species